rnacentral:rRNA from 1 species
GAUGAACGCUGGCGGCGUGCCUAAUACAUGCAAGUCGAGCGAACAGACGAGGAGCUUGCUCCUCUGACGUUAGCGGCGGACGGGUGAGUAACACGUGGAUAACCUACCUAUAAGACUGGGAUAACUUCGGGAAACCGGAGCUAAUACCGGAUAAUAUAUUGAACCGCAUGGUUCAAUAGUGAAAGACGGUUUUGCUGUCACUUAUAGAUGGAUCCGCGCCGCAUUAGCUAGUUGGUAAGGUAACGGCUUACCAAGGCGACGAUGCGUAGCCCACCUGAGAGGGUGAUCGGCCACACUGGAACUGAGACACGGUCCAGACUCCUACGGGAGGCAGCAGAAGGGAAUAUUCCGCAAUGGGCGAAAGCCUGACGGAGCAACGCCGCGUGAGUGAUGAAGGUCUUCGGAUCGUAAAACUCUGUUAUUAGGGAAGAACAAAUGUGUAAGUAACUAUGCACGUCUUGACGGUACCUAAUCAGAAAGCCACGGCUAACUACGUG